GGAAGACAAUCUUGUAGACCAAUAACUCGCUAUGGCAGCCAAGCGUUCAUGGCGACGUUGCUAUUUGAUCCUUCGAUGUCGGCUCUUCCUAUCAUACUGAAGCAGAAUUCAGUAAGCGUUGGAUUGUUCGCCCACUAAUAGGGAACGGGACCUGAGGGGUGUUCAGUUC
rnacentral:ncRNA from 1 species